CAACUUUUAUUCACUGCUGUACUGUGAGAAAUGAGUAUGCUAUUUUACUGGUUAAUAUAAGCAUCUGUGAGCUAGGAUUCCCAUUAUAAUUCUUGUUGUGUUGGAUAGGCUGAGAUUCAUCCCUAUGUCCCAUUGCCGUUUUUGACCCUUGUAUUUGGGAAAGAUGGCUGCUCUCAGUUUGAGAGGGAGAUCAACUUCAUAUGUUUCACGGUGCUUGAAGGGAUCCCCGUGCCUUCUAUAGUGUUUAACUUCAAAUGACUCAAGAAAACAAGAAAUCAGAAUAAAUGUUUCAUUGAAGUGGAGAGGGAGAUGCUGCUUGUGAGAGUUUUAAGGACCAAUAGAGUGUUGAGAGGAUAGGCAGGACAGGCUGAGGCAAAAAAAUCUUUUUUUCCUUUAAUCAAGAAAACUGAACAUCUCAUCACAGACCAUGAAUCUUGAUCUUUUCCAUUGUAUACUCCUGCUUGUUGUUUCAUAUGCUCAGAAAAAGUCAGAUCUUUCCAGUGUGCAUGUUAUGGAUGAAUGCCACUUUGGAAGGAGUUGGAAAGCUUAUUUGGCUUCCUUAUCUGUUCUAAAUAUAUAAAAUUUUCUGUAGAUCUUUGUUAAACUCUGAAAUUUGAUCUGUUCAGUCUGAACUUUCCCUUCUCCUCAAAAAAAAAAAAAAAGAAAAAUUAAUACAGGAACAAAGUCUGAAGGGAAUGGAUUGAUAAUGAGGAGUUUAAAGGUGUGAGAGAGAAAUUUUGCCACCUACCAAAUUUUGGUCUUUAGAAAGUGGGAUUUAAGAGCUGAUGGAAUCCUCUGAAUCAUCAACUUUUAUCCAAUGUCUGAAUUUUACUCCUGAGAAGAAGAGUGGUAUCACACAUACAUAGUAUUAAGGGGCUUUCAAUUCUUGGCCAUGGUUGCUAGCAGGAAAAUAGCUGUUUUUUGAAAAAUCUCAAGAGUUGUCUGGUCCAAUUCACCUUAGCUUCUUGGUUUAAAAUGAGAACGAUGGAAACUGGUAGGAACUUCAUUGUACAGGGAAGCAGAAGGGGUGCUGAACGACAUUUGUUCUUUGAGAGAAAUUACUUGUGAAUUACAGUGCAGGUUCUGACUCAUCAUCAUCCUGGUGUCCUUUGACUGCUGCCUGCAAGGUUGAAGAUGCAAACUUCUCUGUCUUCUUAUUCAGCUUCCUUCUAUCACUGAGUCCUUCUUUAUCUGCUUGAGCCAAUCAUUUGGGAAGAGUUUGAGUUUCUUCCUCAUAUCAUGGGAAAAGUCCUGGCAGUGCAAUAGAAGAAAGUUUGCUUGCUAUCACCUUGUGCCAUUUGACAAUUCCUUUCCUACUUCUGUCCCUUUUGAAUCUUACAUUGGUAACCGUUGCUACUGAGACAUUGUUUUUAGGAUAUGUGGAAUGUUUUUUGUCUGUCUAACCCAUGUCUGCCAUUGCUUCUCCAGCCCUUAUGUUUAGCUGUAGCACUACAAGCAGUGUGGUGUUUAUGCUGCCAACUGUUACUGAUUCUGCAGCGGGGAUGGCAGAGCAAGAAGUAAAUCUGCUCUGGAACUGUGGCAAACUUCAACCUGGGGUGAAUACUGCUGGAAUAGCUGGUGUGUGUUGUGUAAAGCUAUGGAUAUGUCCUCAACAAUCUGACAUGGGUGAUAAGGAAGAAACAAGUGGUAGGGCAAGGUGAAAAGCUGUAGGCUGUUGAGUCUUCAGCUUUUGUUGCUGAAUCUGUCAAGACUCUGUGUUAAACCCAUCAAUCUGUGUCUCCAUGAGGAUUGCUAAAACACUGCUCAUAACAAGCUGCUGAUUGUCAGGAGUAGGAUAGGAUAGGAUACUAAAGGCACUUGAACAGCUAGCUCAGAAAUGUUUGUACCUUUGUGAGAGUAAUUGGAACCCAGUGACAGGAUUAUGGCUUUGUCUCAAGAGGUUGUACCUGCUUAUCUGUGUGUGCUGAUCUGCAUCUAAAAACACAUUUUCCUUUUAAUGAACUGAAACCUCUGGGGAGUGUUCAUCUUCCUCUGCAAACAGGAAUUCCCCUGAGGCUCUACCUCUGCAAAGUGUUUUACUGGAGUUGGAGGACUAUUGAAUUGCUUGCUUCCAAAUGUUGUUGAAGGGAUUUGAAGUAACUCCUUAGGUAUGGGGCUGCUUAGGUGAGUUAUAGGUUGUGCUAGGUGGAUUGAGCUAGAGGGGGCUUGUUGCUAAACUGCUGAAGAAUAAGAUGAACUUUUGACCCAGCCUAGUACAGUGAUCUUUUUAUUAUGUAAGGGGGAGAGGAACUUCUGGAGUUCCUGUGCUGAGAAGACUGUCUAGUCCCUCAUUGCUUGUGUACCUUGGCAUGGCUGGUGCUGGAUGGAGAUGCCUCCUGUGUUCCUUCUCUAUAGGGCCAUGCUGUGAAUGCAAGAGUAAGUGUAUUUAUCCCCUCGGCAUAGUAAGAAGCAUUUCAAUGGCAGCAGAAGCCAAAGAAUUGAACAGUAGGGUAAAAAAAGAGCAUCUUGAAAUCCUGUGGGCUCUGCAUUUUAGGUCUAGCAGUCAUCUUAAUUGAAUUGGGAGAAAUCUUUCUUGUUUGAGAGCAGAAAUAAACAUUGUUGCCGCUUUUGAGAUACAUAUUUUAUUUGUCAGUACAGGGAGAAGUAUGUCUUAUUUGAAAAAUGUUACCUUGCUGUGUAGUGAGAUAAGCACCUCUAGUGGAUGUUGUUUUGAGUUCUCAGCCACAGUCACAGACAGGGAAGGAACAGGGUAAGCCUUGAUGUGUGCAGUGUCAUAACUGGAAAGUCAGAGGCUGUUGCUGCUUUUCUGGCUAGAAAGAAUAUUUUUUAUGUCCUGAGGAAGACUAACAAGGUGUAUAAAGAAUGUUGUGUCAGACAUACCCAUAGGUAGUCAUAAAACUGUCCAUCAGAAAGAGAAUAAAACUGUUUUGUGAUCUUACCAAUUUUGUUGUUUAGACAACUUUUUUUUCUUCUGCUUUUUCGGCAGAGGCGUCAACUGAUGAGACAACAGGUGAAGUUUUUCUGUUUUAGGUAGAACUACAAUAUCUUGAAGGAAAUGGAUCUGUCUGGAGACUCGGCAGGCAUAGAAAAGGACUAGACGCAAAUGGAGAUUUGUAAGAAGGUGAUAGAAAAGAUUGAAGGUGAAUGAGGAUCAGUAGAGAAUAAUAUUCUGGGAAGGAGAGCAGGGGGACAGGAGAGCAGUAAAACAGGAGGGGGAAUGUUUCCAGAGGUGGAGUUGUGAAAAAUAUCCUGGUGGUUUAAAAAGCCAAUUAGUGGCUUGGUGGUUAAGUGCAAAUCCUAAAAGAAGGUAGUGUUUUAGUUAUGCAAGCAGAUUACAACGCUUGAGAAUAGUAUCGCCUUGGGAGGGAGGACUCUAGUAAAAUAUCAAUAUAUGUGUAUUUAUUUUUUGAGGGUUGGUAAGAGUAUCUUAAUGCAGGAGGAUGCCUUUACAACAUCAAGGUUUUGAGGCUUUUCUAUAUGCCACAGGACUGACUAGUGAGUCACUGACAGAGUUUAAGAACUACAGGGUUAAAAAGCGUGUGUUCCUUCCAGGGCCUGAUGCUUCAAUGCAGAAAUCCGAAGGCAGAAGCAGAACAGGGUAAAGAUGCCAGUUACUGGAGCACUGGCUGUGCCUGCCUAUGAGUGCUCUAAUGUCAUGGAUGGUGAUCUGAGGAGUGAGAAACUGUGGAAGACCAUAUAGCAGUUGUGUGUGAAAGAAGAUAUAGGGAGGAAUUUCAAGUGGAAAUUGCUGCCAUGUGUAGAGUAGUAUCUCACUUUCUCAAAGUUCAGCUUUUCUUAGUUUGUAUUCAGUUUUAUAGUUAAAAGCUGCUUUGCUCUUCCCCCCAUCCUGCAUUUGUCUGUUUCACCAACUCUAGAGAACCCUUUUUGUAAAGAAGAUAAGCCUAUUAAAGCUGCCUGACCCUUGUCGACACUC